AAUUGAAAAUGGAAAGUAGAACUAUUUUUCACAAGUAAACAGGCCCUAAGCCAUUUUAUAUUGAAACAUGAUGCUGUUUCUAAACUUCAAAAACUCACAAGAAGGGAAGUAACCCAUAAUAAAUCCACUGAAGUUCAUACCAACAAGACCAACUGUUGCUUGUCGACACAAGCUGCUAGCAGUUAUUGGUGACUGCCAUUUUUUUGUGUGUGUAAUUUUUUAUUCUAUUCAAGUAGAAUGAAAAAUAUAGAAUAUUAUAAUCACAUGAACUUAAAUAUUCUGAUGGUUUUGUUUUUCUAAAAUUUCCAACAAAUGCCAUAAAAUAAUUUUCAAUUUAUUUGCCAUUACAACCAAAUAACAAGAAAUAAUUUAUUUUUCUAAAAGAAUGUUUUCUACGGAAAGCUUUUUCAAAUACAAGUCAUUUCCCAUGAAAGAAACAAAGCCCUAAUAAGAAAGGAUAUCAUCAUAAUGAAAAUGAAAAUCAUAAAUUAGUUUAAAAUGCACUCAUUUUUUACGACUAGCAAGAAUAGUACUAAGCUAAAUAGGGGGCGCAAUCAUGAAAAGUUACCUCCUCAUAUGUCCACCAAAGUUCUGCUUUUGAGUAAUUCCAUUAAUGAGCUGACAUUUAAUGAAAGACAUAUACUUCCCAUUUUAAAUCAUUGGACACAUACAGUUGAAGAAUUUGAAAAUAUUGAAGCCUUUUGUUGUAAAUGAUAAAAAAUAAUAUAAUGAUGCGUUCAUUAGUUUUGGGGCCUAGUCCCCUUUUUUAACCUAAAAAAAUGUUGAAUGCAAACCAAGGCAAGAUCAAAGAUGAUAAAUGAGUAAAGCCUUUUAAAGAAUUAAGAGCUAUUCACUAACCAUCAGGACUUCCUAAUGGAGG
rnacentral:misc_RNA from 1 species